rnacentral:rRNA from 1 species
AUUGAACGCUGGCGGAAUGCUUUACACAUGCAAGUCGAACGGCAGCACGGACUUCGGUCUGGUGGCGAGUGGCGAACGGGUGAGUAAUGUAUCGGAACGUGCCCAGCCGUGGGGGAUAACGUAGUGAAAAUUACGCUAAUACCGCAUACGAUCUAUGGAUGAAAGCGGGGGAUCGCAAGACCUCGCGCGAUUGGAGCGGCCGAUAUCAGAUUAGGUAGUUGGUGGGGUGAAGGCCCACCAAGCCAACGAUCUGUAGCUGGUCUGAGAGGACGACCAGCCACACUGGAACUGAGACACGGUCCGGACUCCUACGGGAGGCAGCAGUGGGGAAUUUUGGACAAUGGGCGAAAGCCUGAUCCAGCCAUUCCGCGUGCAGGAUGAAGGCCCUCGGGUUGUAAACUGCUUUCGUACAGAACGAAAAGGUUUCUACUAAUACUAGGAGCUCAUGACGGUACUGUAAGAAUAAGCACCGGCUAACUACGUGCCAGCCGCCGCGGUAA